UUGUAAUCUGUAGAAGGUGCCUCGGGCGUACGACACCGGUGCAAGUUCCUUGGAACAGGGCGUCAUAGAGGGUGAGAAUCCCGUACGCUGCCGGUAGUUAAGCCUAUGUGAGGCCCUUUCGACGAGUCGAGUUGUUUGGGAAUGCAGCUCUAAAUGGGUGGUAAAUUUCAUCUAAAGCUAAAUACCGGCCAGAGACCGAUAGCGCACAAGUAGAGUGAUCGAAAGAUGAAAAGCACUUUGAAAAGAGAGUUAAACAGUACGUGAAAUUGUUGAAAGGGAAGCGCCUGCAACCAGACUCGCGCGCGGGUGUUCAAUCGCCCUUCGGGGCGGUGCGCUCUCCCGCGCCCGGGCCAGCAUCGGUUUGGGCGGCCGGAUAAAGGUCUCGGGAAUGUGAUUCUCUUCGAGGAAUGUUAUAGCCCGGGGCGUAAUGCGGCCUGCCUGGACCGAGGACCGCGCUUUUGCUAGGAUGCUGGCGUAAUGGUUGCCGGCGACCCGUCUUGAAACACGGACCAGUAAGCUUAAUCAUCCUCUUACCCUUUUCUUAACUAAUUUCUUUUAACAGAGGAGUCGACCAACUGCGCGAGUGUUUGGGUGUUAAACCCAUACGCGCAAUAAAAGUGAAUAUGGUAUGAGCUUCGGCGCAAUAUCGACCGAUCUUGAAAUUUAUGGAUGGAUUUGAGUAUGAGCGAAGUUGGUUGGACCCGAAAGGCAAGAACCCCCCCGCUGACUAUUCCCCCAAAACGAUAUUCUAACAUUUUUUUUAGAUGGUGAGCUAUGCGCGAAUAGGGUGAAGCCAGAGGAAACUCUGGUGGAGGCUCGCAGCGGUUCUGACGUGCAAAUCGAUCGUCAAAUUUGCGUAUAGGGGCGAAAGGUACGUGUUGCCCUGCCACAGCGUCAACUUUUUUUUAAAUGCAUAGGCACUAACUUUUUACAGACUAAUCGAACCAUCGAACUAGAAGGUUAUUGGGUGGUUAAUGUCGAGUCUCCGGUGCUUUUUCGCCCGGGGGCAACAUCGCUAUUCGCAUGGAUUCUUUUUCGAAGGAAAACAUGUACCGGAUUCCACCCAGGUGGAUUUCGAUCACAGACCAGAUGGCGGUGGCCCGCAGGUCGGGUUCUAACAUGGUCGAGCCCCUCCCCUCCAAAGGGGAGUUCUGGAACAGCGCUAGUAGCUGGUUCCUGUCGAAGUUUCCCUCAGGAUAGCAGCAACGAAAUCAGUCUCAUGAGGUAGAGCGAACGAUUAGAGGCCUUGGGGCUGAAACAGCCUUAACCUAUUCUCGAACUUCGAAUAUGUGAGAAGUCCUUGUUACUUAGUUGAA
rnacentral:rRNA from 1 species